AUGUCUCCUUCAUCCCGAGCAGCAGCAAGGUUGUCCACUGGUCGUUCCUCCCUCCACACUGGACGAGAGGAGGACGACAUGGCAACCGGCGCCGUCGCCUAUGCUCGAAACCCUAGCCAUGGGGGGGUCGCGGAUGGGCUUUGGUGGCUUCCAGCGCCGGAUCUAGUCGGAUGGGAGGACGCCGCGGUGCGAGGAGAGCUCGGGUUGUUCUUCACGAUGGCUGGAUUCGCGGAGCAGCGUGAAUCAGCCGUCGCCGGUGGCGCAGCGAGGAGCAGCGUGAAGAGAGAAAUGGGAGGCGAGAGGGAUGGGCGGGUAGGAGAUGCUGUGGAUACUGCAGCCUCUGGAGCUGCAUGGGUGAAGAGGAGGGGGAGGGCCGGUGGCGAGGUGGGUAGGAGAAGGAAGAGGAGGCGGUGGGUGGUGGCGAGGUGGGAGGGAUAA
rnacentral:rRNA from 1 species